UUUUAAAUUUUUUUUUUUUUUUUUUUACUGUCUGCACCUUCAGCCAAAGAUCACCAGGAACACACUUGUGGUUGAACAAGUUGGGUUUAUUACUCCACAGCGAGGGAGAACACAUACCAGGGAAAACGGUGGGGCUCUCACACAGCCGGUUUGCCUUCUGCUGGGUCUCACAUUUCUGUUCCUCCUGGUAAAAUCCUCACUGUCCCAAGGACACUCAGCCUCCACCACCUUCCCAGCUACUCAGAGAGCCAGGAAAGCAUCAAGUAACUCUUCCUGAGCCACUGCUUUCUGUUGUGAUUUUUGAUCCUUUUUCCUGAGGGAGUGUCUUGGAGAAGUAUUUGUAGGAGCAUACAGAUGAAGAUCUACUCAUUUAUUUCUCUCUCCAGGUUGUUAUACUACUGUGCAGAGCAAAAGGACACUGGGACAAAAAAAGAGGAGAGAUCAGCUUUUCCUAGAAGAUUCAGAAAAGCUGGAAAGAAGAGAGUUAAAGAAUGAGCAGGAAUUCACUAGGUAAAGAUGACCACCCAUAUGUCUCAUUUUACCAAACAAGACUGAGUUUAGUGCAUAAAAAACUGAAGUUACAUGAAAUCAUCAGACAAAAGAUGAUUUAAAAAGCAGUCUUUGAUAUCCCUGAGUGGGCCUAGUUAAAACAACCAAGCUGUCUUAGUUUAAGUUCCCCUCAAUGAGGACCCUGAGAUUAAGAUUUGGGUGCAAGAAGCUUAUUUGAGAGGUAAUUGCAGGAAGCACAGUGACAGUAGAGAAAUAAAGCAAGGGAGGAAAGUCAGGAAAGGAGGCACUGCUGCUAUGAGAAUUGGGGUUUCAUCUUGCAGGGGGGCCUCUGAGGACUGUGGAACCCACCACAGUUCCAUUGAGGAGUGAUGAAGUGGGGAUGUUUAUCUGCUAACGUCCAUCUUCAUUGAUUGGGGAUCUGUUCUGGGUCUUUAGCUCAUUGGCACUUCUGGCUUUCCCUGGAUGCCAAUUCACACAACAAAGGCAUUUUGGAGGACUGCCUGCAGGUGACAUCUGGAGUUUGCAGAGGGGCAUGGGACUGACAUGGCAGCACACAAACCACAAGAAACAGAAUGGCUCUUUUCCAGUGGUCAUGCCAAGAGUCCUGUUCCAAAGGCUGGGAUCUCAGAAAUUGGCUAGGAUAAAAACAGCUUACUCUAUGUAUUCUAAGAUGCCCCAAGGAGUCACAUCUUGUAUAAUCCCCUUGACUGCGCUGGAACCUAUGACUUGCUUGUAGCCAACAGAGCAUGACAAGUUUAUGAGAUGCCACUCCCAUGAUAUUACGUUAUGUGAGACUAUUUUGGCUGACUAGACUGCAGAGAGACUCCUGCUGGCCUUGAAGUGAGAUGACAUGUUGUGAGAGGGCCUGUGUGAGGGCAACAUGGAUGGGGUCUCCAGGAGAUGAGACUAGCCUUUAGCUCGUAGCCAGCAAAAAGGCAGAGAUCUCAGUCCUACAACCACAAGGAACUGAAUUCUGCCAGUGACCAUGGGAACUUGGAAGAGCUGCUGGAAGUAACACAGGAUAGUUAACACCGUGACUGCAGCCUCAGCAGAGCACCCAGCUAAGCUGUAUCCAUGGAAAGAUAAUAAAUGUAUGUUGUUUUAAGCCAGUAAA